AGAGUUUGAUCCUGGCUCAGGACGAACGCUGGCGGCGUGCUUUACACAUGCAAGUCGAACGGAGAAGCACCUUCGGGUGUGGAUCAGUGGCGAACGGGUGAGUAACACGUGGGUAACCUGCCCCUCACUUCGGGAUAACUCCGGGAAACCGGGGCUAAUACUGGAUAUCACCAGACCGGGCAUCCGGACUGGUUGAAAGGGUUUACUGGUGAGGGAUGGACCCGCGGCCUAUCAGCUAGUUGGUGGGGUAAUGGCCUACCAAGGCGACGACGGGUAGCCGGCCUGAGAGGGCGACCGGCCACACUGGACUGAGACACGGCCCAGACUCCUACGGGAGGCAGCAGUGGGGAAUAUUGCGCAAUGGACGAAAGUCUUACGCAGCAACGCCGCGUGAGGGAACGAAGGCCUUUGGGUUGUAAACCUCUUUCAGCAGGGACGAAGCGAAAGUGACGGUACCUGCAGAAGAAGCACCGGCUAACUACGUGCCAGCAGCCGCGGUAAUACGUAGGGUGCAAGCGUUGUCCGGAUUUAUUGGGCGUAAAGGGCUCGUAGGCGGUCUGUCGCGUCGGAAGUGAAAACCUGGAGCUCAACUCCAGGCCUGCUUUCGAUACGGGCAGACUAGAGUUCGGUAGGGGAGACUGGAAUUCCUGGUGUAGCGGUGGAAUGCGCAGAUAUCAGGAGGAACACCAAUGGCGAAGGCAGGUCUCUGGGCCGACACUGACGCUGAGGAGCGAAAGCGUGGGUAGCAAACAGGAUUAGAUACCCUGGUAGUCCACGCCGUAAACGGUGGGCGCUAGGUGUGGGGAACAAUCUACGUUUUCCGCGCCGCAGCUAACGCAUUAAGCGCCCCGCCUGGGGAGUACGGCCGCAAGGCUAAAACUCAAAGGAAUUGACGGGGGCCCGCACAAGCGGCGGAGCAUGCGGCUUAAUUCGAUGCAACGCGAAGAACCUUACCUAGGCUUGACAUAUGACCAGAGCAUGCAGAGAUGUAUGUGCAUUUAGUUGGGGUCAUACAGGUGGUGCAUGGCUGUCGUCAGCUCGUGUCGUGAGAUGUUGGGUUAAGUCCCGCAACGAGCGCAACCCUCGUCCUAUGUUGCCAGCGGGUAAUGCCGGGGACCCAUAGGAGACCGCCGGGGUCAACUCGGAGGAAGGUGGGGACGACGUCAAGUCAUCAUGCCCCUUAUGUCUAGGGCUGCACGCAUGCUACAAUGGCCGGUACAAAGGGCUGCAAAAUCGUAAGAUUAAGCGAAUCCCAUAAAGCCGGUCUCAGUUCGGAUUGGGGUCUGCAACUCGACCCCAUGAAGUCGGAGUCGCUAGUAAUCGCAGAUCAGCAACGCUGCGGUGAAUACGUUCCCGGGCCUUGUACACACCGCCCGUCACGUCACGAAAGUCGGUAACACCCGAAGCCGGUGGCCUAACCCUUUAUUGGGAGGGAGCUGUCGAAGGUGGGACUGGCGAUUGGGACGAAGUCGGAACAAGGUA
rnacentral:rRNA from 1 species